AUUGAACGCUGGCGGCAGGCCUAACACAUGCAAGUCGAGCGAGAGGCGGACGGGUGUGCAAUAUAUGGGGAAUGCCCGCUAGAGGGGGGUAACAACAGGAAACACUAGCUACUACAGCAUACCAUCUGAUAGCCCCUAUGGGAUGAGCUGGUAGGUGGGGUAAAGGCUCACCUGGGCGACGCUCCCGCGCUGGUCUGAGAGGAUGAGCAGCCACACUGGGACUGAGACACGGCCCAGACUCAUCCGGAGGCAGCAGUGGGGAAUAGUGCACAAUGGGCGCAAGCCUGAUGCAGCCAUGCCGCGUGUAUGAAGAAGGCCGUCGGGUUGUAAAGUACUUUCAGUCGGGAGGCGUUACCCACAGAAGAAGCACCGGCUAACUCCGUGCCAGCAGCCGCGGUAAUUC
rnacentral:rRNA from 1 species